rnacentral:lncRNA from 1 species
GGCGGUGCGGCGGUAGCGCAGGGCCCUCCUGCGGGGCCAGGCAGGGGCGGGUGGGCGCUCCUUGCCACCUUUCUGCUCUCCCUGCUGUCCGAGAAGUUCGUGCGGUGCCAGCCCAGCUCCCAGCUGGGGACAGAACAGGAAACGUCCCCGGCGAGCCUGGCGGGGGUGGCGGCAGGGGUGUCUGUCGCCUGCGCUGGGCAGGACGCGCGUCCUACCGGCCUCCCACUCCGCGGGCCUCACCAGCCACCUCAUUCCCGGAGCCCGGGCCGCCGAGAGCGCCGCGGAUGGACCUCAGGGAAGGCCUGGCGCGCCGCCUCCGGGAAGCCUUCCGGCCUUCUCCCUCCACCGAGUACUGGGGAGUCUCAGGCCACGGUGAAUGAAGAGCAACGGGCCGGAGAGACCUCGGCCUCUGCCCAGGAGCAGCGCCCAGCAACCCCGCCCACAGGGGACCCGGUGGACGCCCUGGUGGCCACUUUGCCAGGCUCCCCAUCUCCCAGCGAACCAGAGAGGAUUUCCGUUCCCCUCCUGCUUGGUGCCUAGCGCCAGGGCGGGGCGUGGGCUGAGCAGCCCCUCCCAUGGAGGGAGCGGCCAGUCUACAUAUUGGAGGUGGGGCUCUGGGGAAAGGGUGUUGUUAGGAAGGCGGUUUGAGGCAGCGGGAGGUGGGGAUGCGCCCGGCGGGGAGGGGCAGGUGUGUGGGGAGGGCCUGGGGAGCGCCUCCCCAGCCGGGCAGCGCUUCCCCAGCCAGGCCCCGCAGCUGGACCCCGGCUCCGUCCAGCCUGGGAAAGGACUCCACGGUUUAUGCUGAAGUGGUGGUGGGGUGGGUGAACGCUGCGCAAUGGAAGGGCAUGGCCCUGUGCUAAUUGCCCCGGGGUGUGGGGCUGUGGAGGCACUGCGGGGGGGAUGUGCUGUGUCAGUUGGGCAAUGGCGGCCAACUGUGGCGUGCAGGCCUUGGAGCUGCCCCUCCAUGGAGCUUUAAUAAAGGCACUAGCCCUGCAA